rnacentral:rRNA from 1 species
UACGUAGGGACCAAGCGUUGUUCGGAUUUACUGGGCGUAAAGGGCGCGUAGGCGGCUUAACAAGCCACUUGUGAAAUCUCCGGGCUUAACUCGGAACGGCCAAGUGAAACUGUCAAGCUAGAGUGCAGAAGGGGCAAUCGGAAUUCUUGGUGUAGCGGUGAAAUGCGUAGAUAUCUGGAGGAACACCGGUGGCGAAGGCGGCAUCCUGGACCAACACUGACGCUGAGGAGCGAAAGCCAGGGGAGCAAACGGG